CUGAUCGACGAACUGGCUUCCCUGGAGGACCUGUUCACUGUAUGAGUCCCUGCUACGUGACCUGCCUGGUAACUCGCGAUAACUAUUGGAAACGACAGCUCAUUCCUCAUACUAUCAGUUGAUGCCUGACAACUGUCUGAUAGGUGCAAUUGCUUCACUACCAUAUGGACCAGCGUUGUACCAGCUAGGAGGUGGAGUCACCUCUCACCGAGGCUACAAUCCAUCGCCGACCGGAGAGGGUGAUCCUACCCAGUGGAACUGACACUCCGUCCACACUCCUACUGAUACGCUCUUUUGGGAACCAUCUGCCAUGGACCGAUAUCUCGACAACACCUACGCGCGAGCCCCCGAAUAAGAGCUUCACAUCGAAAGCCUCUGAUCGAGGAGAAAAACGAAUGUAAGAGUGCAAAGUGCGCGCUGGCUCGGGCUCUUACCAGAGUAGCACGGAUACUUACGUGCCAGCAGCCGCGGUAAUACGUAGGUCCCGAGCGUGUCCCGGAUUUAUUGGGCGUAAAGCGAGCGCAGGCGGUUAGAUAAGUCUGAAGUUAAGGCUGUGGCUUAACCAUAGUACGCUUUGGAAACUGUUUAACUUGAGUGCAAGAGGGGAGAGUGGAAUUCCAUGUGUAGCGGUGAAAUGCGUAGAUAUAUGGAGGAACACCGGUGGCGAAAGCGGCUCUCUGGCUUGUAACUGACGCUGAGGCUCGAAAGCGUGGGGAGCAAACAGGAUUAGAUACCCUGGUAGUCCACGCCGUAAACGAUGAGUGCUAGGUGUUAGACCCUUUCCGGGGUUUAGUGCCGUAGCUAACGCAUUAAGCACUCCGCCUGGGGAGUACGACCGCAAGGUUGAAACUCAAAGGAAUUGACGGGGGCCCGCACAAGCGGUGGAGCAUGUGGUUUAAUUCGAAGCAACGCGAAGAACCUUACCAGGUCUUGACAUCCCUCUGACCGCUCUAGAGAUAGAGCUUUCCUUCGGGACAGAGGUGACAGGUGGUGCAUGGUUGUCGUCAGCUCGUGUCGUGAGAUGUUGGGUUAAGUCCCGCAACGAGCGCAACCCCUAUUGUUAGUUGCCAUCAUUCAGUUGGGCACUCUAGCGAGACUGCCGGUAAUAAACCGGAGGAAGGUGGGGAUGACGUCAAAUCAUCAUGCCCCUUAUGACCUGGGCUGCACACGUGCUACAAUGGCUGGUACAACGAGUCGCAAGCCGGUGACGGCAAGCUAAUCUCUUAAAGCCAGUCUCAGUUCGGAUUGUAGGCUGCAACUCGCCUACAUGAAGUCGGAAUCGCUAGUAAUCGCGGAUCAGCACGCCGCGGUGAAUACGUUCCCGGGCCU
rnacentral:rRNA from 1 species